rnacentral:rRNA from 1 species
CGGCAUGGCAUUGGAAACUGGGCGGCUAGAGUGUGGUAGAGGUCUCGGGAAUUCCAGGUGUAGCGGUGAAAUGCGUAGAUAUCUGGAGGAACACCGGUGGCGAAAGCGCGAGACUGGGCCAUAACUGACGCUGAGGAACGAAAGCCAGGGGAGCGAAAGGGAUUAGAUACCCCUGUAGUCCUGGCCGUAAACGAUGGAUACUAGGUGUAGGAGGAUUCGACCCCUUCUGUGCCGUAGCUAACGCGAUAAGUAUCCCGCCUGGGGAGUACGACCGCAAGGUUGAAACUCAAAGGAAUUGACGGGGGCCCGCACAAGCGGUGGAACGUGUGGUUUAAUUCGAUGCAACGCGAAGAACCUUACCUGGGCUUGACAUCCUCGGAAUCCUUGUGAAAGCAGGGAGUGCCUUCGGGAGCCGAGAGACAGGUGGUGCACGGUUGUCGUCAGCUCGUGUCGUGAGAUGUUGGGUUAAGUCCCGCAACGAGCGCAACCCUCGUGGUCUGUUGUUACAGGUCGUAAGAUGCUGAACCCUCAGGCCAGACUGCCGGUGACAAACCGGAGGAAGGUGGGGAUGACGUCAAAUCAUCACGCCCCUUAUGUCCAGGGCUACACACGUGUUACAAUGGGUAGAGGACAAUGGGUCGCUUGGCAGCGAUGUCUGGCAAAUCCCACAAACCUCCCCUCAGUUCGGAUCGUAGUCUGCAACUCGACUACGUGAAGUCGGAAUCGCUAGUAAACGCAGAUCAGCACGCUGCGUUGAAUACGUUCCCGGGCCUUGUACACACCGCCCGUCACACCACGAAAGAGGGUUAUGCCCGAAGUCGGUG